GUGCUGGCUUCUCCAGCAGCACAUUUACUAAAAAUUGGAACGAUGCAGAGUAUAUUAGCAUGGUCUCUGCUCAAGGAUGACACAAAAUUUGUGGAGCAUUCCAUAUUUUU
ensembl:snRNA U6 U6 spliceosomal RNA